rnacentral:RNase_P_RNA from 1 species
GGAGCGGGCGAAGGCGAUCGCGCGUUCGCUGGACGGACGUGAGGAAAGUCCGAACUGGGCAGGGCACGGUGGUUGGUAACGCCAACCCGGCGCGAGCCGAGGGAAAGUGCCACAGAAAACAUACCGCCGGAGGAAGCGCCGGAGAUACAAGGGUACCGCUGGAUGAUUGCGGCGGUGUUGUGACGACUCGGGGCCCUUGUCGCUCCGACGCUUCCUCCUGGUAAGGGUGAAAUGGUGCGGUAAGAGCGCACCGCGCGGCCGGUGACGGCCGUGGCAGGGUAAACCCCACCGCCAGCAAGCCCAAAUAAGCAGCGAGAGGUGGCCCGCCUCAUGGGAUAACACCGGCUGACCGAUGCCCGUACGGGCACGGGCUGGCGGUCCCGAAGCUGCGGGUAGGGUGCUUGAGCCGACGGGCGACCGUCGGCCCAGAUAAAUGAUCGUCCCUACGCUUGACCGCGAAGGACAGAAUUCGGCUUACCCGCCCGCUUCGCCU